rfam:Heterocephalus glaber contig219115, whole genome shotgun sequence.
UGGCGCCCAAUGUGGGGCCCGAGAACAGGGGAUCCAGUGAAGGACGCUGCUCAGGGGCCCUAAGAUUGAGAUUGAGGAACAAAGAACGCACUCGACAGAGCAGAGGCUUGCAUUUGACGUAAACCUGCCAUCUUUUCCACACCUCGGUAAGUUGAGCAGCGAUUAUGGGACAGGGCAUCAGUCAGCAUGAGCUAUUCGUGCAAGGUCUCAAGGAGACAUUACAGGCACGAGGGGUAAAGGUUACAGUUAAACAAUUGCUGUUUUUUGAUUAUAUUAAAGAUCUCUGUCCCU